ensembl:misc_RNA Metazoa_SRP Metazoan signal recognition particle RNA
GCCAGGCGUGGUGGUGCAUGCUUGUAAUCCCAGCUACUUGGGAGGCUGAGGCAGGAGAAUUGCUUGAACCCAGGAGGUGGAAGUUGCAGUGAGCUGAGAUUGCACCACUGCACUCCAGCCUGGGUGACAGAGUGAGAUUCUGUCUCAA